UCCAGACUCCUACGGGAGGCAGCAGUGGGGAAUAUUGCACAAUGGGGGGAACCCUGAUGCAGCGACGCCGCGUGGGUGAAGGAGCGUUUCGGCGCGUAAAGCCCUAUCGGCAGGGAAGAAGGAGGACGGUACCUGACUAAGAAGCCCCGGCUAACUACGUGCCAGCAGCCGCGGUAAUACGUAGGGGGCAAGCGUUAUCCGGGUUUACUGGGGGUAAAGGGGGGGCAGACGGCAGCGCAAGCCAGGAGUGAAAGCCCGGGGCUCAACCCCGGGACUGCAUUUGGAACUGUGUGGCUGGAGUGUCGGAGAGGCAGGCGGAAUUCCUAGUGUAGCGGUGAAAUGCGUAGAUAUUAGGAGGAACACCAGUGGCGAAGGCGGCCUGCUGGACGACAACUGACGGUGAGGCGCGAAAGCGUGGGGAGCAAACAGGAUUAGAUACCCCAGUA
rnacentral:rRNA from 1 species